AACGAACGCUGGCGGCAGGCCUAACACAUGCAAGUCGAGCGAACCGCAAGGUUAGCGGCGGACGGGUUAGUAACGCGUGGGAACGUGCCCAAAGGUACGGAAUAGCCUCGGGAAACUGAGAGUAAUACCGUAUGUGCCCGAAAGGGGAAAGAUUUAUCGCCUUUGGAUCGGCUCGCGUUGGAUUAGGUAGUUGGUGGGGUAACGGCGUACCAAGCCGACGAUGCAUAGCUGGUUUGCGAGGAUGAUCAGAAACACGGGGACUGAGAAACGGCCCAGACUCCUACGGGAGGCAGCAGUGGGGAAUCUUAGACAGUGGACACAAGGCUGAUCUAGCCAUGCCGCGUGAACUAUGAAUGCCUUGGGGUUGUAAAGCUCUUUCAGCUGGUAAGAUAAUGACUGUACCAGCAGAAGAAGCCCCGGCUAACUCCGUGCCAGCCGCCGCCGUAACAC
rnacentral:rRNA from 1 species